GAUGAACGCUGGCGGCGUGCUUAACACAUGCAAGUCGAACGGGAAUUACUUUAUUGAAACUUCGGUCGAUUUAAUUUAAUUCCAGUGGCGGACGGGUGAGUAACGCGUGGGUAACCUGCCUUAUACAGGGGGAUAACAGUCAGAAAUGGCUGCUAAUACCGCAUAAGCUCACAGAGCUGCAUGGCUCGGUGUGAAAAACUCCGGUGGUAUAAGAUGGACCCGCGUUGGAUUAGCUUGUUGGUGGGGUAACGGCCCACCAAGGCGACGAUCCAUAGCCGGCCUGAGAGGGUGAACGGCCACAUUGGGACUGAGACACGGCCCAGACUCCUACGGGAGGCAGCAGUGGGGAAUAUUGCACAAUGGGGGGAACCCUGAUGCAGCGACGCCGCGUGAAGGAAGAAGUAUCUCGGUAUGUAAACUUCUAUCAGCAGGGAAGAUAGUGACGGUACCUGACUAAGAAGCCCCGGCUAACUACGUGCCAGCCGCCGCCGUAAGAC
rnacentral:rRNA from 1 species